GGAAGACUUGUUAGCUAUUGUUCCUCCUUUGGAUGGAGAUUUGAAGCUACAGAUUUGCGUCCUAUGGAUCAGAAGCUUUGCACACCUGUGCAUUUUCCACCUGGUUGCAAAUCUGGAGUUGGCCAUGUUCAUGGAGAGACCUGUCUUCAGAAGCAUGUCAAAAACGUUAGGCGGAUUCUGUAGUUAUAUUGUUUUUACCGGUGUGUGGACAACCCUCUCUUCUGCAGCUUCCUUCAGUGUCGCCACAGAUUUAAGACUUCUGCUUUGAAGUUGUGCCUUCCUAACGUACUGUGAACGGGAAUCUGCUCUUAAAGCCCAGAGUGCAUUGCACGAACAGAAGACUCUACCAGGGAUGAACAGGCCAAUCCAGGUGAAACCAGCGGACAGCGAAAGCCGAGGAGGUAGCUGAUUUCUUUCUUUAUAGCUUCUGGCAUGGUGAUGUGACAUUGUUAGGUUUGUGGGAUUUUCGAGCUGCGUGGAGAUCCGUUAGUAACACAAUCUGCCUCCACACCCAAUUCUCGAGACAGCUCUUCAUUAAAUCGCCUUCAGGUUGCGUCGCCGUGGCUCAUAUUCAAUUAUUAUUUGAUUUUUUUUUAAAAAAAGGGACCGAUAGUUGCUUAGGAAGCAGCUAGGAAUCCCUGUUAAGAAACACACACUUGGGUGUUGACUUAGCAAAAGUUUUAUGAUUGCCACCUUGAUUUGUUGGUGUGUUUUUCUAAGGCUGAGCUGUUGACCAUCAUGUGAGUUUGUUCGGUCCUUGUUCUUUCAUUUCAUGGUUUAAGGGGGAAUGAAAGCAAGGUUUGACUUUAUGGGCCGCCGAAGGCCUUGUAAUGAUUUGAUGUUGCUUUUUAUCGGUCCUACCACAUCUUAAUCAAGGUGUGUUAAAUCACUGGCUAACUUUCUGCUUGUAGUCCAAUUAUAACAUCACCCAACGAGAUUGGUUGUUUCCUUUGGGAGCACAGCGUCACGAUCUAUCUAUCAAAAUUUGAAGAAGAAAAAAUGUUGCAAAAUGGCAUCUAUUUUAUUACUAAGAUUUGCGAGUGGGGUGGAGUGGUGCGGUGGCCUGGAGGUGGAGCUCUGGCCUCACAGUCAGGAGGCUGUGAGUUCGGUCCUAGGUGGAGGCAGAUAUUUCUCUCUCUGAGCACACUGAGAAUAUAUCUGCUGAACAAAACUCCACAUUGGCAACAGGAAAGGCAUCUGGCCAGUAAACACUCUGCUAACUCCAUUCAGUUGCCCAGGCUCCACCCCGCAAGCGAUUAUGGGGUCAUUAAAAGAGGAUGAUGAUUUUCCUGUGGGAUGAUAAGGAUGGUUUAGAGGGCUUAACAGAUUUGUGGAAUAUCUGGGGGAAAAGAGCACCAGAUAUCUCGAUGGACCAGUUUUUUGUUCUUUCGCUAAUCUUUCAGAUAUUUUGUAUGAUGCCAGUUGGUUGAAUUUGUGUUGUGUUGCUGGUUGUGUUAUCUUCUGUGUCAGAACUGGAAUUUGCUAGCAGGCAGCCCAGAUAUUAGGGUGUCUACACGGAGAGUCAAAAAAUCUUGAGAUGAUGGACUUGAAUCACACAGAGAGGGUGAACAUCUGGAAAGAAUUUGACCCACCCAGUGGAAGGUCCCUGACAGAUUCCCAAAAGGGGCUAAGGAAAACAGGUGUUGAACUGUUGCAGUUUUGGAGAAUACAUGUGCAAUGCUGAUUUUAUCUUGGAGGGAUUAUGGAUUGCUCACCCCUCAUCAACCACGGUGGGCAAAUAUUAGGGAUGUAUCAAUUAGCCCUGGUCCAAUUGGAACCAAUAAUCCACUUUGGGGGGG